rnacentral:rRNA from 1 species
CACGCAGGCGGUUUGUUAAGUCAGAUGUGAAAUCCCCGGGCUCAACCUGGGAACUGCAUUUGAAACUGGCAAGCUAGAGUCUCGUAGAGGGGGUAGAAUUCCAGGUGUAGCGGUGAAAUGCGUAGAGAUCUGGAGGAAUACCGGUGGCGAAGGCGGCCCCUGGACGAAGACUGACGCUCAGGUGCGAAAGCGUGGGGAGCAAACA